rnacentral:rRNA from 1 species
AUACGGAGGAUCCGAGCGUUAUCCGGAUUUAUUGGGUUUAAAGGGAGCGUAGGUGGAUUGUUAAGUCAGUUGUGAAAGUUUGCGGCUCAACCGUAAAAUUGCAGUUGAAACUGGCAGUCUUGAGUACAGUAGAGGUGGGCGGCAUUCGUGGUGUAGCGGUGAAAUGCUUAGAUAUCACGAAGAACUCCGAUUGCGAAGGCAGCUCACUGGACUGCAACUGACACUGAUGCUCGAAAGUGUGGGUAUCAAACAGGAUUAGAUACCCUGGUAGUCCACACAGUAAACGAUGAAUACUCGCUGUUUGCGAUAUACAGUAAGCGGCCAAGCGAAAGCAUUAAGUAUUCCACCUGGGGAGUACGCCGGCAACGGUGAAACUCAAAGGAAUUGACGGGG